UACGUAGGGUGCGAGCGUUGUCCGGAAUUACUGGGCGUAAAGAGCUCGUAGGUGGUUUGUCGCGUUGUUCGUGAAAACUCACAACUCAAUUGUGGGCGUGCGGGCGAUACGGGCAGACUGGAGUACUGCAGGGGAGACUGGAAUUCCUGGUGUAGCGGUGGAAUGCGCAGAUAUCAGGAGGAACACCGGUGGCGAAGGCGGUCUUCUGGGCGA
rnacentral:rRNA from 1 species